GAUUAGUUUGAAAUUGUUUCAAGUAAAAAUCAAAUCAUCAACAUAGAGACAGAUUAUAAAAAUAUCUCCAGAAUCUAUGAAUUUGACAUAUAGAGUAUGCUCUUGACGACAUCUCAUAAAACCACUUUCAAC